rnacentral:lncRNA from 1 species
CCUUUUUGGAUGUCUCCUCUUCAAGUGCUGGUUUCUCUUCAAAUAAUAGUUCGUUAGGUGUUUCUUCCCGUUUUGGUUCUUCAGGUGCUUCUUCAGUUAUUGGUUUUGCAGCUUUCUCCUCAAUUGUCUCCUCAACCAAUGGUUCUUCAAGCUUCUCUUCCAUUGUUGUUUCUUUAGGUUUCUCUUCAAUUGCCGGUGGUUCAGGUUUUUUCUCAUCCACUGGUUCUUCUGGCUUCUCUGAAACUGCUGUUUCUUCUGAUUUCUCUUCAAUUGCUUGUUCUUCAUGUUUUUUUUCAACUACUGGCUCUUCAGUUUUUUCCUCAACUGAUGCAUAGUCAGCAAUGUCGUUGGUAUUGCAUGGAAUUGCAUUGUCUGUCUUGUCCUUUGAGUUUACAAUUGGCAAAUUAUGCAAGAAAAUUUUAAGUUUCAUUUAGUCUUUCAACAGAUAAACUUAUGUAAAUUCGUUGCACAUAUAAAGCUAAUAUGAUGGAUAGUUUUUAUGACAGUGUUUAUUUGUCACCUUCUCCUGAAGAGCUUCUGUUUCAGGUUCUUCCUCUUCAAUUGCUGGUUUUUCAUCUUUCUUUUCAACAACUAGUUCUUCAGAUGUGUCUUCAACUGUUGGUUCUUCAGGUUUCUCUUCAAGAGCUAGUUCUUCAGGUGUUUCCUCCCCUGCAAGCUCUUCAGGUGUUUCUAUAGUCGCCGGUUCUUCAGGUUUCUCUGUAAUCUCUAGUUCAGGUUUCUCCUCAACUGGUACUUCAGAUUUCUCCUCAAAUGUUGGUUCUUCAGGUUUCUCCUUAAUAGCUGGUACACCAGGUUUCUCUUCAAUGAGUGGUUCUUCAGUUUUUUCUUCAACUGCCGAUUCUUCAGGAUUUUCCUCACUGUCUGGAGAGUGUGCAACAUCAUUAUUGGUAUUGCAUGGGAUUUCACUGCCAGUUUUUUCGUUCGAGUCUACAAUUAGCAUAUUCUGCAAAAAGAAUUUAAUGUUUCACUUAGCCUUUCAAUAAAGAUGCAGAUGUGAAUCAUAGUACAUACAUAACUAACAAAAUGGAUAAACUUUGUGAUAGUGCUUGACCCUUACCUUUUCCAAAAGAGUUACCUUUUCAGGUUUCUCCUCUUCCAUGGCUGGUUCUUCAUGUAUCUCUUCAAAUGCUAGUUCCUUAGGUGUUUCUUCAAUUACUUGUUUUUCAGGUUUCUCCUCAAUUUUUGGUUCUUUGAUUGUCUCCUCAACUGAUGGUACUUCAAGCUUUUCUCCCACGGUUGGUUUUUCAGGUUUCUCUUCAACUGUCGGUUGUUCAGGUAUUUUCUCAACCGCUGGUUCUUCUGGUUUCCCCGAAACCCUUGAUUCUUCAGAUUUUUCUUCAAUUGCUGAUUCUUCAGAUAUCUCUUCAACUAUUGCUUCUUCAGUUUUUUCCUCAACUGAUGCAUAGUCAGCAAUGUCAUUGUUGGUAUUGCAUGGAAUUGCAUUGUCUAUUGUGUUCUUUGAGUUUACAAUUGGAAAAUUCUGCAAGAAAAUUUAAAGUUUCAUCUAGUCUUUCAAUAGAUAAACAUGUAAAUGCGUUGCACAUAUAAAGCUAAUAUGCUGAAUAAACUUUGUGAGAGUUAAUUCUCACCUUCUCCUUAAGAGCUUCCAUUUCAGGUUCCUCCUCUUCAAUUGCUGUUUUUUCAACUUUCUCUUCAACAACUAGCUCUUCAGAUGUAUCUUCAACCGUUGGUUCUUCAGGUUUCUCUUCAAGUGCUAGUUCUUCAGGUGUUUCUAUUGCUGCCGGUUCUUGAGGUUUCUCUUCAGUCUCUGGUUCUUGAGGUUUCUCCUCAGCUGGUACUUCAGAUUUCUCCUCAAAUGUUGGUUUCUCCUCAACUGCUGGUACAUCAGGUUUCUCUUCAAUGACUAGUUCUUCAUUUUUUAUUUCAACUGCCGGUUCUUCAGAAUUUUCCUCAAUGUCUGGAGAGUGAGCAACAUCAUUAUUGGUAUUGCAUGGAAUUUCACUGCCAGUUUUGGUGUUCGAGUCUACAAUUAGCAUAUUCUGCAAAAAGACUUUAAUGUUUCACUUAGCCUUUCAAAAGAAGAGCAUGUGAAUCACUGUACAUGCAUAACUAACAAAAUGGAUAUACUUUGUGAUAGUACUUGACCCUUACCUUUUCCAAAAGAGUUACCUUUUCAGGUUUCUCCUCUUUCAUUGCUGGCUCUUUAUGUAUCUCUUCUAAUGCUAGUUCCUUGGGUGUUUCUUCAGUUACUUGUUUAUCAGGUUUCUCCUCAAUUUUUGGUUCUUUGAUCGUCUCCUCAACUGAUGGUUCUUCAAGCUUUUCUCCCACUGUUGGUGUUUCAGGUUUCUCUUCGAUUGUCGGUUGUUCAGGUAUUUUCUCAACCGGUGGUUCUUCUGGUUUCUCCAAAACCCUUGAUUCUUCAGAUUUCUCUUCAAUAGCUGAUUCUUCAGAUAUCUCUUCAACUUCUGGUUCUUCAGUAUUUUCCUCAACUGAUGCAUAGUCAGCAAUGUCAUUGUUGGUAUUGCAUGGAAUUGCAUUGUCUGUUGUGUUCUUUGAGUUUACAAUUGGCAAAUUCUGCAAGAAAAUUUGAAGUUCCAUUUAGUCUUUCAAUAGAUGAAACAUAUUUAAAUUCAUUGCACUUAUAAAGUUAAUAUGCUGAAUAAACUUUGUGACAGUGUUAAUUGUCACCUUCUCCUGAAGAGCUUCCGUUUCAGGUUCCUCCUCUUCAAUUGCUGGUUUUUCAUCUUUCUCUUCAACAACUAGCCCUUCAGAUGUAUCUUCAACUGUUAGUUCUUCAGGUUUCCCUUCAAGUGCUAGUUCUUCAGCUGUUUCUAUAGCUGCUGGUUUUUCAGGUUUCUCUUCAGUUGCCGGUUCUUGAGGUUUCUCCUCAGCUGGUACUUCAGAUUUCUCCUCAAAUUUUGGUUCUUCAGGUUUCUCCUCAACUGCUGGUACAUCAGGUUUCUCUUCAAUGACUGGUUCUUCAUUUUUUAUUUCAACUGCCGAUUCUUCAGGAUUUUCCUCGAUGUCUGGAGAGUGAGCAACAUCAUUAUUGGUAUUGCAUGGAAUUUCACUGCCAGUUUUGGUGUUCGAGUCUACAAUUAGCAUAUCCUGCAAAAAGAAUUUAAUGUUUCACCUAGCCUUUCAAAAAAAGAUCAUGUGAAUCACAGUACAUGCAUAACUAACAAAAUGGAUAAACUUUGUUAUUAUACUUGACCCUUACCUUUUCCGAAAGAGUUACCUUUUCAUGUUUCUCCUCUUCAACGGUUGGUUCGUCAUGUUUCUCUUCAAAUGAUAGUUCCUUAGGUGUUCCUUCAGGUUUCUCCUCAAUUGUUGGUUCUUUGGUUGUCUCUCCAACCAAUGGUUCUUCAAGCUUUUCUCCUCCAACUGUUGGGUUUUCAGGUUUCUCUUCAAUUGUCGGCUGUUUAGGUAUUUUCUCAACCUCUGGUUCUUCUGGUUUCUCCAAAACCCUUGAUUCUUCAGACUUCUCUUCAAUAGCUGAUUCUUCAGAUUUCUCUUCAACUACUGGUUCUUCAGUUUUUUCCUCAACUAAUGCAUAGUUAGCAAUGUCAUUGUUGGUAUUGCAUGGAAUUGCAUUGUCUGUAUUGUCCUCUGCGUUUACAAUCGGCAAUUUCUGCAAGAAAAUUUAAAGUUUCAUUUUGUCUUUAAAUAGAUAAACAUAUAUUAAUUCGUUGCACAUAUAAAGCUUAUAUGGUGGAUUAACUUUGUGACAGUAUUUAAUCCUCACCUUCUCCUGAAGAGCUUUCCUAACAAGUUCCUCCUCUUCAAUAGCUGUUUCUUCAUCUUUCUCUUCAAGAACUAGUUCUUCAGGUGUCUCUUCAAGUGCUAGUUCUUCAGGUGCUUCCUCCUUUGCUAGCUCUUCAGCUGUUUCUUUAGCUGCCGCUUCUUCAGGUCUCUCUUUAGACGCCGGUUCUUGAGGUUUCUCCUCAACCAGUACUUCAGAUUUCUCCUCAAAUGUUGGUUCUUCAGGUUUCUCCUUAACUGCUGGUACAUCAGGUUUCUGUUCAAUGACUGAUUCUUCAGUUUUUUCUUCAACUGCCGACACUUCAGGAUUUUCCUCAAUGUCUGGAAAGUGAGCAACAUCAUUACCGGUAUUGCAUGGAAUUUCACUACCAGUUUUGUCGUUCAAGUCUACAAUUAGCAUAGUCUGCAAAAUGAAGUGAAUGUUUACUUUGCCUUCCAAUAAAGAAGCAGAUGUGAAUCACAGUACAUACAUGACUUAAACUUUGUGAUAGUGCUUGACCCUUACUUUUUCAGGUUUCUCCUCUUCAACGGCUGGUUCUUCAUGUUUCUCUCCAACUGCUGGUUUUUCAGGUUUCUCUUCAACUGUCGGUUGUUCAGUUUUUUUCUCAACCACUAGUUCUUCAAGCUUCUCCGAAACAACUGAUUCUUCAGAUUUAUCUUCAAUUGCUAAUUCUUCAUGUGUUUUUCCAACUACUGGUUCGUUAGGUUUUUCCUCAACUGAUGCAUAGUUAGCAAUAUCAUUAUUGGUGGUAUUGCAUGGAAUUGCAUCGUCUAUCUUGUCCUUUGAGUCUACAAUUGGCAAAUUCUGCAAGAAAAUUGAAGUUUCACUUAGUCUUUUGACAGAUAAACAGAUGUAAAUUCAUUGCACAUAUAAAGCUAAUAUGAUGGAUAGACUUUGUGGUAGUGUUUAAUCUUCACCUUCUCCAGAAGCCCUUCUGUUAAAGGUUUCUCCUCCUCCAUUACUGCUGGUUUUUCAGGUAUGUCUUCAACCAUUGGUUCUUCAGGUUUCUCUUCAAAUGCUAGUUCUUCAUGUGUUUCCUCCCCUGCUAGCUCUUCAUGUGUUUCUUUCGCUGUCGGUUCCUUAGGUUUCUUUUCAGCCGCUGGUUCUUCAGGUUUCUCCUCAACCGUUGGUUCUUCAGGUUUCUCUUUAAUCUCUGAUACAUCACGUUUCUCUUCAAAAACUGGGUUUUCUGGUUUUUCUUCAACUGCUGGUUCUUCGGUUAUUUUCUCAGUUUUUGGAUAGUGAGCAGCAUCGUUGUUGGUAUUGCAUGGAAUUUCACUAUCAGUGUUGUCCUUAGAGUCUACAACUAGCAUUUUCUGCAAGAAGAAUUUAAAGUUUCUCUUAGUCUUUCAAGAGAUAACCAGACAUGAAUUGUUGGACAUACAUAACUAAUAGGAUGGAUAAACUUCUUGAUAAUACUUGACCCUCACCUUUUCCAAAAGAGAUACUUUUUUGGGUUUCUCCUCUUCAACUGCUGGUUUCUCUUCAAAUGCUAGUUCAUUUUGUUCCUGUGUUGGUUCUUCAGGUGUUUCUUCAGUUAUUGGGUUUUCAGGUUUCUCUUCAAAUGCUUGUUCAUUUGGUGUUUCUUCCUGUGUUGGUUCUUCAGGUGCUUCUUCAGUUACUGGUUUUUCAGGUUUAUCUUCAACUGCUGGUUCUUCUAGUGUCUCCUCAAUCGAUGGUUCUUCAAGUUCCUCUCUUGCUACUGGUUUUUCAGAUUUCUCUUCAACUGCUGGUUGUUCAGGUUUUUUCAUAACCACUGACUCUUCAGAUCUCUCUUCAAUUGCUGGUUCUUCAGUUUUUUCCUCAACUGAUUCAUAAUCGGCAAUAGCAUUGUUGGUAAUGCAUUGAAUUGCAUUGUCUGUCUUGUUCUUUGACUUUUCAAUUGGUGAAUUCUGCAAAAAUAAAUAAAUUGAAGUUUCAUUUAGUCUUUCAAUGGAUAAAACAGAUGUAAAUUCGUUACGCAUAUAAAGCUAAUAUGAUGGAUAAACUUUGUGAAAGUGUUUAAUCCUCAC